ACUUCAACGUUACGGCAAGCCCUACAGAGCAUCUAGUUUGCUGGUCGCUGUAUACGUACGUACAUAGUAUUACUAAGUACUGAAACUAUUGUGCAACUAUAAUAUUUUUGUAACGGAGUCUACAGACCUGAUAUGACGUAUGUAAAUAGUUUCAUUUCGAUUGAAAUGUAGAUAAACAUGAAUAUACCAAUGAUUACGGCUUGGCAAAAGCAAGAAACAUAUGAAUGAAAAUAGCAUUAAAUGUAAUCAACACGGCUAUCUAACAUUAGCAAAACAAUGUAAAUAUGAAUGCUCAAUCGUUCGUUUCUCGUAAUCAAUAUGUUCUCGACGUGCCUAAAAUUGAAAAUUGAUGAAUUUAUAAUGGUAUACUAAUACUUAUAACCUCCAAUAUCAUCACGUCACCAAAAAUAACACAAGGUAAAUUUUACGUUAUCAAAAUAAUCACUCUCAUUAAUACUUUGUUUUAAUUUUGCAUCUGUCUAACUGCAGUACUCAGAGACAUUUAAUGGUUACUUAAACUAUUCCUUAGUAACGAUUUUGUACUGAAAACAAUUACUAAGGAAUGCGGCAGUAGCCCACGUUUAACGCUAUAUUUUAUUAUAUUCAAAACUGACAUUGUACAAGCAUGAAACGACUGUUUCCUUAUCGUACUGUACCAUUUACUAGUUCAAAAUAAAGAUAUUCCGAUACCCGAAUUUCGAAUGUACCUAUUUCUACGUGGUAGAGCUAAGCUGCAUUUGCAGCUCGCAUUGGGCAAGCUCGGCCGGGGAAGUACCACGCUCUCACAGGCACCAGCGCAGCGUCAGCCCGAGCUGAAGCUGUGCCUGGUCGGUGAUGAGGACCGGAAUGCCCAGCCCCCUCCUCGAAACCUCGCAGGAGGGAACGACCUAUUCAAGAUACUAAGCCGUAGCACCCCAUAUAUUGAGCACCCAGAUCAUCUAUGGGUGUCUUUUGUAAAGGUCCACAGUCCACCAGUGGACUCCACGGACUGUUGAUGAUACGGGUGUCCCUUAAAGUAUGGAUCGAAUUGAAUGAUAAGGAGGUAAAUUUCCAAACCUUUUGCAUCUAAAGCGUGUUGGUCGAAUUCUUAAUAGUUCAAAAGUUAUGACCAAUUUUCGUUUUGUUCAGUUAUUUUAUAAAGUGCUCAAAGAAACGAUCGUAAACAAGAAAUUACCUAUUAAGGGAUAUCAAUGUAGUUUUUUUAUACUUAGACUAAAAAUAUAAAAAAACUACAUUGAUAAUCCUGACAAAUGAAGUCGCUCGCUCCUCAAGCAUGAGGGUGCGGCAUUAAAACCUAGCAAGUACCCAAUGUAACUAUAUUAAGAGUUAUAUUGUGUACUUUCUAAGAUCAUUCACAAACCGGUGAAGGCAAACAUCGUGAAAAAACCUGGACUUAUAAUUUCCAAUUAUAAGUUUGAAAUCGCCAAUCCGCCUUAAGCAGAUGUGGUGAUUAAUAUUCAUUCUUACUCCAUGUGAGAAAAGGCAUUUUCUUAGCAGUGGGACAAUUACAGACUGAUGACGUUGCAGCUUGGUGCUUUCUUGUUUAUGAUCGUUUCCUUGAGCCCUUUAUCAAAUAAUGGAACAAACAGAAAAUUGGUCAUAAAUUCUGAACAGUAAAGAAUUCGACAAACAUGCUUAGAUGCAAACAGUUUCGAAAUUACCUCUCUUUACCUCGGUUCAGUUUGACCCAUACAUUGAAGGACGCCCUGUAUAAGUCACAGUGCAUGAUUACAUCAAUAUAGAACAUAUAUGGGGCGUUACGAGUAACUUGGAUAGGUCGCAUUAUCUACCUCACAUUGCACUUAACCGGACUCAUGUCCGCAACAUCUGUUAAAUUACAACAAUUAACUAAUGUAAUAGUUACAACAUAGUUUUCGUUUAAAUGAAACGAAAAUGCAAUGUGAGGUAUAAUUUAGGUUAGGUGGUAUAGGUGAGAGAGGUAAGCGAUUAUCGCAUUUUGGUAAAAGGGAUUUAGCUAACACCAAAGUUUAGAAGUCUAUAGGAAUCAACCGUGACACUGACACAACCGUAAUUCAAUAGUGGUAACACAAUGCAUACAUAGGACAUAGUAAAACAAUAUUAAAAUUAACAACAGCGUCAAUAAUUUCCUGUUAUAAAAAAUAUGCCAAGUACCAUCAAAACUAACGGAAUACUCGUGUGAACCUGAACGAUCAAUGCAACGGUACGGUUUUUUGGAACCUCACUUCACGUGGUAGAGCCAAGCUGCAUUAACCUGCAGCUCGCAAUGGGUAGGCUCGACCGGGGAAGUACCACGCUCUCACCGCGAUACACCGGCGUGGCAGGCUUCUGAAGCUGGUAGCUGUGCUGGUGGGUGAUGAGGUCCGGAAUACCCAGCCCCCUUCUCGAAACUUCUGAGAAGGGACCGGCCUAUUCAAGAUACUAACCGUAGCACCCCGCAUUGAGGACCACUGAGCCUGCAGAAAUGCCCGGUCCUACGAGUAACUUGAAUAGGUCGUCUUACAUCAACCUCGCAUUGAAAUUGGGUAGUUUCCUUCAAAAACAAAACGUUUCGACUUUUCAAUACAAUAAAAAUGUUUAAUUUUCACAUUUUUCUAGUAAAAUACUAAGAAAUUAGUAUGCUUAUUAAUGCAGUCUUCUGCGACGUUACAACACGCUACCUCAUACAAAAUUAAAUGUAUAAAUAAUCAUAUAAACGUAACACCUUGGAAACUACCCCGUUAAGCGGUGCAACAUCUAUACAUGUUUAUUUUUCUAACAAUGCGAGGUAUAGCACCGACAUUUAUAAACAUAUUCAGUAGAUAACGUUAACAGUAUGUCACUCAGUUUUAUUCCAUAUCGGAUUAAAAUAUUAAAUUACAUAUUUGAAAUACUGGGAUUUAAGUAAAGACAGUUAGGCUAACUACUACAUGUAUGGCGAUUAUUAACAUCGUGCGAAUCGCAGAUUUGAUCCGCACACUGAACAAACUAUGAUAAAUAGGAAUGGGUCAUGCCUGAAUCAUGAUGUCAAUAAUUAACCUUAUGUCAAAGGGCUUAAGUACUAAAAUGCCGCAUACUAUGUACAAUAUAUGUAGGUACGCGAGGAUUUUAAGAAAUCUAUAAGAUCUCUUCAUUAUAAUCUGUAUCUACAUAGUUUACUGUUUGUAUGGCCUAAUGUUCCUCCGAUGUCAUGUAACAUACCUACAUUGUGUCAUAUUUUAGUCUAUUUAGCGUAAUUUAAUAUAUGAUUUGAAAUAUUCGUUUCAAAUGUAAUGUACUGUUUCAAAUCAAAUGAGUGGGCAAGUUGGUCUUGUUUUGCAUUUAAUGCAAAACAUAGGAUGCGUAAGGAUAGAAUGACUUUAGGUUUUAUUAAAAAUCGGUCGAAGCAAAACGGAUAAUAUAGUAUAAGAAAAAAAAAACAAAAAAACAGCAUUCCUGACGAAUAACUGUCGGGUUUGUAAGAAAAAAAAAAACUAAAAAAAAGUAAUUUAAAAUAAUACAAAAAAAAAACAUUAAAAAGUAAGAAAAACAAAAAAAAAACAACAAAAAGUUAAAAAAUGUAUAAAGUGUAUUACAAAAAAAUAAAAAAAAAACAAUGAAAACCAACAAAAAAUACAAAAAAGAAAGAAAAUACAAAAAAAAAAAUUAGUAUAGGAUGUAAAUAGUAAUAUAAAUAUGAAAUACAAUAUGUUUAAGACUAGCUAUGUAAGGAUCUCCAAGCUACCACUGAAAGCACUGCCAAUAAGUGUACUAGUUCUAACUUACAAUUAAAUAAAAUAAAAAUAUAAUAUAAGAUAUGGAUAAGUGUGUGAAAUCGAUAAUUAAAUAUAAGGUAAAAUUAGGAAGGUGAUGAUAUGAUGAUGAACACUAGAAUUACGCAACUACAUCAUUACUAGUUAAAAUAUUUCAACUCUAUAUUGCAUUUCACUAACAUUCCAACAUCAAACAGAAUAAACCCUUUUAUUCAUUAAAAGGCUUUUUUUCUGGUUUAUAUAAAGCGUACUGAGUUGAAAUGUCUUCUCUAGUAAGGUUUAGUUAGUUUGUAAGUAAAUUGGCAGCAAAAUUAUAUGUUCUAUACACGAUUAACACCUCUUAGUAGCUAUUAACCAACAUUUGAUGACAAUAUUAGAACAUCUUGGAGUGUAUUGAAAAAUCAUUUCUCAAAGUACAGUGCUUAGAGAAAGCCUAGUGUGUUUAUUGACACUCAAACUCCACUCAAUUGCGUACGAAUUGAGUGGUAUUUGGUGCGGGCACUACUUAAACUGGGAGAGCCUCUGCUAGGAUCAAUGAGGCGUUUGUCUAAGAGGACUUGCAAUGAAUAAGAUGACUUAUUCAAUACACUUUAGUCAUGGUAUGGCUAGCCAAUUGUGCAUGGGAUAUCUGCUUUUGCUGCUGAAUGUAGCUCUAAGUUUGUAUUAUAAAAUGGACACUAUUCUAUAUAGUGUCCAGAAAACUCAAUGAAAUGGCAUCACUAUCGCAAUUAGAUGUAAAUAUCGAGAAGGGAAAAAAUCUCUUAUAUACUUAUUAAUAAUUAAGUGCAUAGCCCCGUCGGUACCACCUUAAAUAGAAAUAGGUUUUUUAUACAAUCAAUCAGUAAGUCGAAAUAGAAAUAAACUUUGUAUUCUUUUUACGGGUUUUUGUACGUAUUGAAUGUAAUAUUGGGCAUAGGGGAACCUGGUUGCCGGCGGAAGAACCGCAUCGUGGCGGUCAACGGCGGUAACCAACGUAGACGUAAAAAUACUGAGUAAUAUAUGAUCCGGACUGGAGUAGAAUGAACAUCUAUCUGCGAGCUUCUUUGACAUAUUCAAAGUAGAGGUCGCAGAGUGGGGGAAAGCUUAAAGGCUUUUGUUAAAAAAGUCAAAGCUACCAAUCAUAUACCAGAUACCCCUAUCGAUACUACUUCCAGCUGUGUAAAACAAGGGAGUUUAUUUUAUCCCAAGGCAAGGUCAACCAUUAUCUAUAAGCUAGCUUUAGGCAGUAAGAUGAGGCUCUUAUAAAUGUAUCUUAUAUUCCUUUUGGCGAAUUAAUCUUUAAAAAACAGUAAACAACAAACUACAAUGCAUUUAAUUUUACCAUAACAUAAUGCAGUGGUGUUUUUUUGUCUGUGAAUAUUCAAUUUGGCUGUGGUUUUUCACGUACCAAGACGGUGUAAUAACUUAUUUUUUAUUAUUCGAAAGGUUAAGACAGACAGCUUGGUUAAUUUGUAAGUUUUGUGAUAUAAUUAGGUAUAAGUUAGAAUAGGUUUUUUAUAUUAUUUUUACGAAGCAAAUGCUGUGACUUUGUUAUUGUUCUUCCGCCUACUUGUCUGCCGCGUCCGACAUCAUUCGCUUGUUCUAAUGUGUGAAUCUUGUGUGAAUGAGUGGGAAGGUGUGUAAGUAAGAGUCUAUCUCGUGAAACGAAUUCCAUGUUUGUGGCGCCACACCUUUGGAAAACUGUGAUAAUAAUCUAGUCAAUGCAUUGUACGUGAGAAUUCUUUCAUGGGGUAGAGGGUGAGAUAGAACUGGGUGGAAGAGUGAGGAGUGACUGGAGGUACCGUUUGAAUGAGGACAAUAAAACAUGUGAUACUUAUGUGUGAUAUUACGACAAGGAGUGAUGGUGAACGAAAGGACAAGCUAAGUAUUUAAAACUCGAAAUAGUAAAUGCAAGAAAAUAAGGGUUCGGAAUACAUGGACAGUGUAAGAAAUACCUAAAAGUUAGCUAUGGCCAAUAUCUGAGGGCAUAAUCGAGCCUACGAGUAGAAUGUAUAUUAGAACCUAUGUAUAAAGAGAUAAGAUAUAAAGACAUAAGUGUAAAUAUAAAUGAGAAACAAAAAAAGAAAGCACUUUAAUACAUAAUAAUAGGAAUUAGUGGUGUACUGGGAAGGUGUACCUGUACAUAUUCUGGCGAAAUUCGGUACCAUUUAAAUACUAAGACGUAUAGCAUAAACAAUACAAAAAAAUAUAUGUUAUUUGCCGUCUGUCUUCCAUUAUUUUAUUAAAUUAUACUUUUCCAAACGACUUUCUGUCGGGUUGAAAUAACGGGAUUUUGAAAACACAGAUUUGUCUCCCUACAGUUCCCAUAUACCUGAACUUGUAGAUAUUAAUUUUAAUUGUAAUAUAGAUAAAUGUUUAAAGGGUUAAGUUAGCUAAUGUAGAUAUAAACGUGGAAAGUGAUGCAACAGCAAUGAGAACGUUAUAGUUAAGGAAUUAAUCACGGUUUCUGUACAUAGGCGACUCCGUGUUAGGUUAAAGUAUAAUACAUAAAUAAAAAAUCCAAAAAAAUAACAAAAAAAAGUAAAAAAGUGUGAAAAAGUAUACAAAAAAUGAAAAAAAAAUCAAUGGAAAAAUAAAAAAAAAUAGAACGUAAGUUAUUAAUAAGAUCUUGUUCAUGUGCUACUGACAAACAUAUAAUAACAAUACAUAAAAUACCUAAACUACUAAUACCACAGAAUAAAUAAAAUUGUACAUAGAAAUCUGUAUGCGAAGUACAACGUGUUACGCCACCGGCCUAACACGGCUUGCUACGACGCCAAAGAUUAAAAGGUAUGCAUAUGGACAAGUUAGGAACAUAAGUUGUACAUUGGUCAAUGAUCGUUGUAAAACAAAAAUAUUAAGGUGACAUUCGAUUGUAAUAGGUAAAACCUAACUCACGGUAUCUGUACAUAUAACACCGUGUUAAAAUAAGUAGGGUAGAGCUUAGCGUUUACUUGUAUAUAUAGGUUUAAAGAUAAUGAUUGAUGAUGACGAUAAUUGAUGAUGAAUUUUAAAGAAAAUGUAAUCUUUCAAACAAUUACACGAAUAUAAGCCGACAUAAUAAACAUUGGGCUAUUCUUAUAACAAAGGCUAUUUAAAUAGCAACGCGUUGUUCAAACGACAUCGUGCUAUGUCUGUUACCACAGGCACUUCAAAAAUACAAUUUGAUCACCAUAAUGUUUACAACUGUAAACCAUAACAUCAGACAUUUUUGACGCAAAAAUUACUAUUAGGUGUUAAUAAAUAUGUACGUGAAGAUAUAAAACGGGAUGAUAGUUAAGUAUAACCGUGCUAAGUGAUAUGUAUAUAUAGCACGUGAUAUUGCAUAGGAUUAAACUGUAACAUAAAAAUUAGGAGAAUAGAAUGAGUUAUGUGCAUACAUAACUAUUCAGGCCAGUUAAUUCCGUGCUUCGGAGGGCACGUUAAGCCGUCGGUCCCGGCUGUCCUACCAAUACCCUGGACAGUCGUCACCAUGCUUCGUCAUGUUCUUAUUGCAAUCUAGUCUUGUUCUUGGACAUCGACACCCACAUGUUGGGUUGCGGUGGCCAAAUGGCCUGCGCUAGUCGCAUCGUGUAAAACACCGAAGUCUCAGGAACGGACUAGACAGUCUUCACACAAGGCAGGGGAAUGUCUUCACGGCAUACUGACGCGUGUGGAUGAUAAAUCGCUAAGAUUUUACACCACUAUGGUCGCACGUUUGUCUCAUCAUGAGAUUUAAAAUUAAUUCUUACUAGCCCUAACCAUAUAUAAGAGCCUCAUCGAGCUAUACUAGUUCUCAUAAGUUUAGAAUAGUACAAGAGACUUAAAUGUCGAAACUUCUUCGUGCUUCGGAGGGCACGUAAAGCCGUCGGUCCCGGCUGUCCCACUACUAUCCCGGACAGUCGUCACCAUGCUUCGUCAUGUUCUAACAGAGACUGGUCCGUCCCAGGGCGCCAGUGUUCCCAUUACUUGGGACGCGGGGACUGACGCUCGCGUCGGUCGCUCCGUGUAUCGCACGGUCCCGGUGCGGACUGGUCUAACCUAUCACACGCGUCAGGGGAAUGUCUCGGCAUACUGACAACUGGGUAGGUGCCUUUACACGCGUUAUUAAUUACAUUAAUAAAACCUUGAAAUAUUAAUGAUUUCAAGCAUUCACACUCAUGAAGUGGAACGUAAGUUCCACUGUAGUGUUGAAAACAAGUGACAUGUACUGGUACUAUUAACUUGACUGUAAUAGCUACUGUACUGUCCCACUUACCAACAAAUAUAUUAAUUGAUUAAUACCACGUGUGUUAAAGGAGUUCUUUCAAUAAGUCAUUGGACAUUGUUGCUAGAAAUGAAUAUGGUCAUUAAUAAAUUUAUCUAAUAUACUAAAAUGACACAAUGUAGGAAAGCUUGCUUCGGAUGGCACGUUAAGCCGCGGUCUCAGCUUUUCAUCCUACACAUUAAGCCGGGUCCAGACGAGUGUAACGUGUAAUGUAAUCCACCGUGUAAUGUAACACGAAUUCUUCAGCGCGAGUGUUACAUGUAAUGCUCGUACUGCCGUCCACACGUAGAAUUCGUGUUACAUUACACGGUGGAUUACAUUACACGUUACACUCGUCUGGACCCGGCUUUAGAAAGACGUCGCCAUGCUUUGCCCUAGGGCGCCAAUGUUCCCAUGACUUGGGAUACCAGGAACUGAUGCCCACGUCGGUCAUCGUCAUUAAAAGUUGGAUUUUUCUUAGAAUAUUCAGACAAUAUUUUAAUUAUUGACAUUAUGUAUUCCGACAUAAGUAUUAAGUUCAAAAAAUAUCAGUAAUAACGAAUUACUCGUAAUAAGGUUUGAGCAAUCAAAUGUGAACGUGUGUAAAGCACUCAAAUUAAACAAACAAAGCAUUUUAGGAAAUUUUAUGUAUUACAAUUAUAAAAAAAAUAUCGAUAAUAGUCAGGUAGGAAUAAAACUGAAAUGAACAGUAAUAUAUUGAAAGAACUUGAGUUUUAUAUAUAAACAAUAAUUAUGUCUGUAACUCAUAAACCCAGAUGUAAUUUAUGAAGUUAAAUAAUUGUCUUCGUGCUUCGGAGGGCACGUAAAGCCGUCGGUCCCGGCUGUCCCACUACUAUCCCGGACAGUCGUCACCAUGCUUCGUCAUGUUCUAACAGAGACUGGUCCGUCCCAGGGCGCCAGUGUUCCCAUUACUUGGGACGCGGGGACUGACGCUCGCGUCGGUCGCUCCGUGUAUCGCACUGUCCCGGUGCGGACUGGUCUAACCUAUCACACGCGUCAGGGGAAUGUCUCGGCAUACUGACAACUGGGUAGGUGCCUUUACACGCGUUAUUAAUUACAUUAACUUCAAUUCUUAAUGAAUUAAUUCAACGCGUGUAAAAGGAUUUCAUCAUUACUUUCCGGUCAUUGUAACCGAAUUACGAGUUUCUUGAAUGAAUACACAUUGUAUUGCACUACAGUGAUAUAAUGUAAUACUUCGUGCUUCGGAGGGCACGUUAAGCCGUCGGUCCCGGCUGUCACGCUAACGCCAGUGACAGUCGUCACGAGCGAGUUAGCUCCUGGUAAUUAUUGUGGCCUAGCCUUAGCUUGAGAGACCAGUAUACAGCCAACUACAGGUAUUCACAAACCACGUUAAGAAAUCGAUGUGCACGAGAUGCUGUACACCAAGGUUAGGGCGGGUCACAGCCGAGCGUAGGAGUCAGGGGAAUAUCAUCGCGAUAUACUGACAAAUACGCUCGAAGCUUACUUAGUACGCUUAAUGUGUACUAGUAAGUGUUUUCACAAUAGAUUGAAUAUUUCCCAAACAAGUGCUCCUUGUGGAUAUGGUAAUCUAUUGAGAAGACAAUAAAUAGCAGACCCAGUUAAACUGGUGUAGAGGCCAAUGAUGAGUGGAAAUCAGCCAGAAGUUGAGGAUUCCUUGGAUCGGAAAUUGUUUGAUUUAAAGGUGAUCGCGAUAGUGUCAGUCAAGUAAAUGCUUCAUGUAAGUAGUUAUAUCCAGCUUCGGCUUUCAUUACUAUGCUACAAAUGAAAUCAUUGAUUUUAUAUUAAAUUUGCCCAGACUAUUACUAUGAAUACUUGGUUAAAAUUAAAUCGCAAAUUGUCGAAUGUAUGCAUUGUGUGCCACUAUGUCUAUACUGUUCACUAACAACUAAUGUAUAUCAUCAAGAUUUAGAUAAUCAAAAUUUGGACUUGUACUUGUAACUCCUCUGGUGUUUUUGGUUUCCAAGGGCUGCGCCGGUUGUUUACCAUCAGGUGAUCCAUAUUGUUCGUUUGCCAGCUUAUCCCAUAAAAAAAUCUGGGUGGCCUACAGAAUAUCGCAAACCCUCGACAUUUUAUAUCGUGCUUCGGAGGGCACGUAAAGCCGUCGGUCCCGGCUGUCCCACUACUAUCCCGGACAGUCGUCACCAUGCUUCGUCAUGUUCUAACAGAGACUGGUCCGUCCCAGGGCGCCAGUGUUCCCAUUACUUGGGACACGGGGACUGACGCUCGCGUCGGUCGCUCCGUGUAUCGCACUGUCCCGGUGCGGACUGGUCUAACCUAUCACACGCGUCAGGGGAAUGUCUCGGCAUACUGACAACUGGGUAGGUGCCUUUACACGCGUUAUUAAUUACAUUAACUUCAAUUCUUAAUGAAUUAAUUUAACGCGUGUAAAAGGAUUUCAUCAUUACUUUCCGGUCAUUGUAACCGAAUUACGAGUUUCUUGAAUGAAUACACAUUGUAUUACACUACAGUGAUAUAAUGUAAUACUUCGUGCUUCGGAGGGCACGUUAAGCCGUCGGUCCCGGCUGUCACGCUAACGCCAGUGACAGUCGUCACGAGCGAGUUAGCUCCUGGUAAUUAUUGUGGCCUAGCCUUAGCUUGAGAGACCAGUAUACAGCCAACUACAGGUAUUCACAAACCACGUUAAGAAAUCGAUGUGCACGAGAUGCUGUACACCAAGGUUAGGGCGGGUCACAGCCGAGCGUAGGAGUCAGGGGAAUAUCAUCGCGAUAUACUGACAAAUACGCUCGAAGCUUACUUAGUACGCUUAAUGUGUACUAGUAAGUGUCUUCACAAUAGAUUGAAUAUUUCCCAAACAAGUGCUCCUUGCUCGUGGAUAUGGUAAUCUAUUGAGAAGAUAAUAACCGAGCCGUAGCGAAAGUAAUAACAGGAAACAUAAAAAUACUUAAGAGCCAUGCUUCAUCAUGAAUGGGCUGGCUUGACUGGCGUUAUACCACCUCAGAAAACCGGCGUGAAUUAACGUUGUUGCCUGCGUUGUGCUCCGCUGAUGUUACUGGACGCUAAAUCUUUCGUCUAUCUCGACAA